UGUCUCGUCAGCAGCAGCAGCUCCUGCUUCAUUCUUGUGAUGUAUGUCUGCUGCUUCAUUCUUUUCUUCCCUUUGCGACAUGGUAUUGUCUCCUGCUUCAUUUUUGAUGUAUGCUUUGCUCAAUAUGUCUGCUGCUUCAAAAUUACAGUUAACAAUUGUUGAGCAUUUCAGUUCAGAAGGUACUGAACACUGCAAAAUGCUGAGUUGGAGGACAAAAUUAUCAACAGAUUUCAAGUUUCAAAGCUUAUAAUGCUUAUAAAGUAGCAUUGUUUGAGACAAGAAAUUCCAAUCCUUUACUUGGACAACACAUCCUCCUAAUUGUUCCACAAAAAUUGCACAAGGUGCUGGUUUGUUUUCACUGUCACUGAAAGUCUGAAACUAACAUGAACACUUCCUCCAUCAUGCUACUGAACUUGUCUGCAUUGGUCAUGAAUCAUGACCGUGAGAUACUGAUGCUCUAACUGACAGGAUUUUUGACAUGUUAAUCAAAUGCGUCUGGAAUGCAAAGUUGGCAACUCUAAGUUGACCUGCUAGCAAAAUUAGUGAAUUACAGUUGCAGCAAUCUUAGCCUUUGCUCAGAUGUGUAAACCUAAACAGAAUGCAAUGCCUGAAUGUGUAAAUGUUCAGAGUCAGACCAUGCCUUUGCUGAAACGUAUUAGCACUUAACGAGGUACAAGAGCUCACAUGCCAAUUCACUAAUACUUAGCGCUGUCAAUUGGCAGUGUUCCUAGGCAGCAAGCAUUUAUCGUACUGUACUAAUAUGAUUAACAUAAGCUUAAAGAUUUAGGUACAAAGUAAGCUUUGGCAAUCAUAUAUCAAAAAUUCAGAAAUUAGUAAUGCUGGACAGACAGUAGCAAAGAAGAGCAUAGCAGGGAUAUGAAGUCUGACCAUGCAAGAACAAGGUGAGGCUGCCCUUGGGCAUGUAAUCGAAGACCAUGCUUCUGAAAAUUGGUGAAUGACUGAAUGAGGAUUGGAGAUCCUUGUGUUGGGCUUUAGCUAAUUGGAGAAUGACAUGUGAAGAGCAAAUAUGAAAUGUUAUAAGGGGAACAAAUGCAACACCUCUUUCUUUUCAAUCGUCAUUUUUAUUUUGUCAAGUGUGAACUGAUAAUGGAAUUUGUUUGUUAGACUCUCUUCCUUUUCAAGUGUCAACUGAAAAUUUAUUUGUGAAAUAGGUGCAUGUAUUCAUGUGCGGUGGCUAUUUACAUUCAUGUCUAGUGAACUAUUCCCAUUCAUGUCUGGUGAGUAACUUAACUAUUAUUCAUGCGUGUACUAUUUCCAUUCAUUUGUGAACUAUUUAUAUUGAUGUCUGGUGAACUAUUCC